GACAGAGGAUGCAAGCGUUAUCCGGAUUCACUGGGUUUAAAGGGUGCGUAGGUGGCUUUGUAAGUCAGUGGUGAAAUACCGCAGCUCAACUGCGGAACUGCCAUUGAUACUGCUUAGCUUGAAUCACGUCGAGGUGGAUGGAAUAUUACAUGUAGCGGUGAAAUGCUUAGAUAUGUAAUAGAACACCGAUUGCGAAGGCAGUUCACUAGGCGUGUAUUGACACUGAGGCACGAAAGCGUGGGGAUCAAACAGG
rnacentral:rRNA from 1 species